CAAGGCAGCUUUAUUUGUGUAGCACAUUUCAGCAACAGGGCAAUUCAAAGUGCUUUACAUAAAAAAAUUAAAAUUGCAAGUACAGUAUAAGAAAUUAAACAUUAAAGAGCAGUUCAAAACAGUUAAACAUAUAAAGCAGAUAAAAUAGCAGAUUGUAGGCUGCUAGUAUGGGACAGUGUACACACCGAUGCUCCACACACGUUAUUUGAGCACAAUAAACAUUUUGUGGAUUCCAAACUUUGUUGACCAAUAAGGUAGGCAUUCUAUACAGGCAGAACCACGUCUUUACCAUCUCAUCCGUCCACCACGGG